AUUGAACGCUGGCGGCAGGCCUAACACAUGCAAGUCGAGCGGAUGAAGGGAGCUUGCUCCUGGAUUCAGCGGCGGACGGGUGAGUAAUGCCUAGGAAUCUGCCUGGUAGUGGGGGAUAACGUCCGGAAACGGGCGCUAAUACCGCAUACGUCCUGAGGGAGAAAGUGGGGGAUCUUCGGACCUCACGCUAUCAGAUGAGCCUAGGUCGGAUUAGCUAGUUGGUGGGGUAAAGGCCUACCAAGGCGACGAUCUGUAACUGGUCUGAGAGGAUGAUCAGUCACACUGGAACUGAGACACGGUCCAGACCCCUACGGGAGGCAGCAGUGGGGAAUAUUGGACAAUGGGCGAAAGCCUGAUCCAGCCAUGCCGCGUGUGUGAAGAAGGUCUUCGGAUUGUAAAGCACUUUAAGUUGGGAGGAAGGGCAGUAAGUUAAUACCUUGCUGUUUUGACGUUACCAACAGAAUAAGCACCGGCUAACUUCGUG
rnacentral:rRNA from 1 species